CCUUGUUGGUCUAGUGGUGAGGAUUUUC
rnacentral:misc_RNA from 1 species